rnacentral:lncRNA from 1 species
CUUUGUCCAGAGGUUGAGAGGAGACGAGGCCCAUACCCUCUACUUGCUCCCAGUCUAAUGGCAGAGAAAGAACAGAUAUAAAGAAAAUAUGGGAUCGAAAGGUUGAAUACCACAUCAGAUACGAAGAAUGUAAGCCAGGCGCUUAUUUUCAGGGCCUGGACUGCCUAGCUUGGAAGUGGACAAGGUUAACCGGGAGCCUUCUCAGAGUCUGUCUUACGUGGCCUUCAAGGAGCCGCUGGAAAUUACUUGGCUGAAACGAGCAGCUGUAAAGUCUGUCUUACAUGAAAGCCUGCCAAGACACGGACUUCUUCUAAGGAAAACUGCCCUGCCUCCAGCCCCUGUAAGCUUGUGGUUCAGUCUCCCUGGAUACAGCUGCCUUGAGGCAAAGGUGACCCAGUGGCAGCCAAUUCACAGACGGGCCAGCCCAGGCUAACAAGGUGAACUGAGAUACUCAUUUAAGGUCGCUUUUAGGAAUCCAAGCUAGUGACUAUUGGAAAAAUGAAGGGGUUAACCAUACAAGUUAAGGUGGAAAGAUUAGGAUAUACCAAGAAGGGAAUGGCCAUGAAGGUCAUGUGCAAACUGAGAUUACAAGGGAGCAGAAACUGGGAGUGAACAACGGCUAUAAGGGGGAGAGAAAGAGAGAGAGAUGAUGAUGAUGAUGAUGAUGGCGACGAUGGAGAGACACAGAAACAGAGUAGAAACAGAAUGUGGCUUAAUCCCAAUGGCUUUCUGGUUUCAGAACCACCAUGAGCC